rnacentral:rRNA from 1 species
CCUACGGGAGGCAGCAGUAGGGAAUAUUGCUCAAUGGGCGAAACCCUGAAGCAGCAACGCCGCGUGGAGGAUGAAGGUUUUCGGAUUGUAAACUCCUUUUGUUAGAGAAGAUAAUGACGGUAUCUAACGAAUAAGCACCGGCUAACUCCGUGCCAGCAGCCGCGGUAAUACGGAGGGUGCAAGCGUUACUCGGAAUCACUGGGCGUAAAGAGCGCGUAGGCGGGAUAGCAAGUCAGAUGUGAAAUCCUAUGGCUUAACCAUAGAACUGCAGUUGAAACUGUUAUUCUAGAGUAUGGGAGAGGUAGGUGGAAUUCUUGGUGUAGGGGUAAAAUGCGUAGAGAUCAAGAGGAAUACUCAUUGCGAAGGCGACCUGCUAGAACAUAACUGACGCUGAUGCGCGAAAGUGUGGGGAGCAAACAGGAUUAGAUACCCCUGUAGUC